CAUUACCUAGAGUUUGUAGACUUCGGUCUGCUACCUCUUACCCAUGUCUUUUGAGUACCUUCGUUUCCUCGGCGGGUCCGCCCGCCGAUUGGACAACAUUCAAACCCUUUGCAGUUGCAAUCAGCGUCUGAAAAAACAUAAUAGUUACAACUUUCAACAACGGAUCUCUUGGUUCUGGCAUCGAUGAAGAACGCAGCGAAAUGCGAUAAGUAGUGUGAAUUGCAGAAUUCAGUGAAUCAUCGAAUCUUUGAACGCACAUUGCGCCCCUUGGUAUUCCAUGGGGCAUGCCUGUUCGAGCGUCAUUUGUACCUUCAAGCUCUGCUUGGUGUUGGGUGUUUGUCUCGCCUCUGCGUGUAGACUCGCCUUAAAACAAUUGGCAGCCGGCGUAUUGAUUUCGGAGCGCAGUACAUCUCGCGCUUUGCACUCAUAACGACGACGUCCAAAAGUACAUUUUUACACUCUUGACCUCGGAUCAGGUAGGGAUACCCGCUGAACUUAAGCAUAUCAAUAAGCGGAGGAAAAGAAACCAACAGGGAUUGCCCUAGUAACGGCGAGUGAAGCGGCAACAGCUCAAAUUUGAAAUCUGGCGUCUUUGGCGUCCGAGUUGUAAUUUGCAGAGGGCGCUUUGGCAUUGGCAGCGGUCCAAGUUCCUUGGAACAGGACGUCACAGAGGGUGAGAAUCCCGUACGUGGUCGCUAGCCUUUACCGUGUAAAGCCCCUUCGACGAGUCGAGUUGUUUGGGAAUGCAGCUC
rnacentral:rRNA from 1 species